CGUUACCGAGGGUCAUCGUUUUCGGCUUCAAAAAUGAUUAUCAAGAUGGCAAAAGACGAACAGCGCUUUGCAAGACAUGCAACGUUAAGAUCGCGGACAGCCAGACGACAACCUCAAUUUCGUCCGCCAUUUGAAGAGCCAUUCUGCCCAACUGGUUCUGUGAUGGGGUCUGUGAGCUCUGGUCCAUACUGGAACGGUCAGGAAGACUGUCCAGCUCUAUAGUCUGGCAGGGAAGACCUUUGCUGUGGAUCUCAGUCUGUGGGUGUGUGAGGCUCAACACGUGCAGGGCAUGAUGGGAAAAGUCACCAAACCGCACCUCCGGAAUUUGUUUUUCCGUGUGUCUUCUCUCACGCUGAUGGGUGUGAAGCUGGUGUUUGUCAUGGAGGGAGACGCUCCGAAAAUCAAAGCGAGACCAUGAGCAAA